rnacentral:pre_miRNA from 1 species
CAUGUACUCCCUUCGUUCGGAAUUACUUGUCUCGAAAAUGGAUGUAUCUAGAACGUCUAGAUACAUCCAUUUUCGAGACAAGUAAUUCCGAACGGAGGGAGUAUAAA